rnacentral:rRNA from 1 species
ACGAACGCUGGCGGCGUGCCUAAUACGUGCAAUCGACGCUUUCUCUUUCACCGGAGCUUGCUCCACCGAAAGAAAAGGAGUGGCGAACGGGUGAGUAACACGUGGGUAACCUGCCCAUCAGAAGGGGAUAACACUUGGAAACAGGUGCUAAUACCGUAUAACAAUCGAAACCGCAUGGUUUCGGUUUGAAAGGCGCUUUUGCGUCACUGAUGGAUGGACCCGCGGUGCAUUAGCUAGUUGGUGAGGUAACGGCUCACCAAGGCAACGAUGCAUAGCCGACCUGAGAGGGUGAUCGGCCACAUUGGGACUGAGACACGGCCCAAACUCCUACGGGAGGCAGCAGUAGGGAAUCUUCGGCAAUGGACGCAAGUCUGACCGAGCAACGCUGCGUGAGUGAAGAAGGUUUUCGGAUCGUAAAACUCUGUUGUUAGAGAAGAACAAGGAUGAGAGUAGAAUGUUCAUCCCUUGACGGUAUCUAACCAGAAAGCCACGGCUAACUACGUGCCAGCAGCCGCGGUAAUACGUAGGUGGCAAGCGUUGUCCGGAUUUAUUGGGCGUAAAGCGAGCGCAGGCGGUUUCUUAAGUCUGAUGUGAAAGCCCCCGGCUCAACCGGGGAGGGUCAUUGGAAACUGGGAAACUUGAGUGCAGAAGAGGAGAGUGGAAUUCCAUGUGUAGCGGUGAAAUGCGUAGAUAUAUGGAGGAACACCAGUGGCGAAGGC